AUCUGGAUCUCCAGCUACCGGCGGAGGACUGAGAAAUUAUCAGGAUAUCAACAGUCACAGGGAAGAUUUCCAAAAUUAGUCACCGCCAGUGGAAACAUGUGACACGUGUAAUGAAGGAACGACUCAGUGCCACAUAAUUACUCUUGAACUAGAUAUCUGAAGACUUUUACGGCCAAGAUAUAAAAACUACAAGGAUGGAGUCUUUUUGCGCUGUGUCUGUUGAGAUGCAGCGAGCAGCAGCUGUCAGCUGAUAUUUAAAAACCUGUGGAAACUGUAAAGUAAUGGACAGAGGACGGAGAGGGAUCCGCAGACGGCCGAUCAAUCAGCGAGCCGGGGAGUCUCACUUCCUGUUGGUCCCGCCCACCCCGACCUGUACCGCCGCCGGUCGACAGGUCCAUCACUCAGCCUGACUGACAGCUGCAGCAGCCGCUCAUCCUCCUGAUCGAUGGCGUGGACUUUCUCCACUCAGACACAGAUACUAUGAGAUCGAACGGAGAAGAACAGAACCAAAACCAGAACCCGCUUCCUUCCCUCAAAAUAAAGUUUACGUGUUUUACUGAAGAUGUUCCUGAGCUCCUGGAGAAUUGGUGAAGCGUCUGUCGGAGCGGGAGUGGAGGAGGAGAAAUGCUGGCGGCUCUUCAUCAUCACCGUGGCGGCGGUGGGAGUCGAGCGGAGGAUCAUGAAAGAAGAAGAAGUGGGAUCCUUCCUGCUACUGAAGAAAGAGAAGGAUGCUGACAAACUGAUCUGUGAGAUUUCUACUGCGCACACACACACACACACACACACACACACACAC